UACGUAGGUGGCAAGCGUUGUCCGGAAUUAUUGGGCGUAAAGCGCGCGCAGGCGGUCUCUUAAGUCUGAUGUGAAAGCCCACGGCUCAACCGUGGAGGGUCAUUGGAAACUGGGAGACUUGAGUGCAGAAGAGAAGAGCGGAAUUCCACGUGUAGCGGUGAAAUGCGUAGAGAUGUGGGGGAACACCAGUGGCGAAGGCGGCUCUUUGGUCUGUAACUGACGCUGAGGCGCGAAAGCGUGGGGAGCGAACAGG
rnacentral:rRNA from 1 species